rnacentral:lncRNA from 1 species
GCCGCUACAGCGUAAAAGACUUAUUGACGAUGACCACUUGGUUUUGGGAAAGACAAAAAACAAAGUUCUAGACAGUCCAAUCAAUAUGUCUCUUCCUAUAAGUUUUUCCUUUGCCGACUCAUCCAGAACAGUGAAAUCUUAUAAAAAAAAAAGUCCAAGACAAUCAACAAAAAGAGACAAAGAAGAGUGAAAGACUGUACCUGAAAGAAACAAUCAAGGGAUCUUCAGCUUGGAACUGGGAAAGUUGACGGAGAGGAAUGUUGAAACCUUCAACCCAGUUGAUAUUCUGCAAAGGACUAGCUCCAGAUGAAGUAAGGGCGGGAGUACCCCAAAAGUAGGACAAUGGAGUAGCACUACUCACUUCUUUUUUGAACUCAAAAGAAAGAGAAAAUAGUUUCUUGGAAUAAUCUUCUAGUUUGCUCAAAAGGGUUGAUGGAAUUCC